AAUAGUCAGCGAGUUUUAAUGGAAAUAGAAAAUAUUGGUUAUCUAGACAAAUGUGCUCUUGUUUUUAGUAUAUUUUUAUAACUCUUUUGUAAUGUCUUCGUUAUCAGAGCCCUUCAAAUUAGAAUAGUGAUGAUGAUCUUGUCAAUGCUGAGAUUUUCAUGCAUCAACAGCCACUACAUCUGGAUCAGAUUGAACAAGAAACAGACAGCAAGGGUUGUCAGGUCAGAAACAGAAUGACACACAAACACAAGAAACUUCACAGGCAGAUCAACAUGCAAUUUGAAGACGUGUGAUAAAAUACAGAGAGGUGAAGUAGUGUGUCUUUCCAGAUCCCCAAAUCAUUCCCCCUUAAAAGAUGAGCCUGAAGAGGAGAUUUGGGAAGAUGCUGUUUCAUAAGUCGCUUUGCCAGAUCACCUGUGGUCGGAAUGUCUGCUAACAAGAUGCUUUGCUGGUCUGGGCGAGUUUAAAGGCUUACACAGACAGUCCAGAAGUUCUGAAGUCCAUCUUCGAUUUCAUUGAUGCUGUCAUCGUAUUAAGUACAGCAUGAGCCAGAAUAGAUGGGUGGUGGUGGCCAUAAGAAGACUGUCAACUAAACCAACAACAAAAUUCAUAUUUGCAGUUUUUCUUGAAUAAAGUUUUUCUAUUCAGAUUAAUAAAAUGACUUUUAAACAUGAUUUUGUUUCAUAUUUUAUGAUUU